rnacentral:rRNA from 1 species
AUUGAACGCUGGCGGCAGGCCUAACACAUGCAAGUCGAGCGAGCGGCGGACGGGUGAGUAAUGUCUGGGAAACUGCCUGAUGGAGGGGGAUAACUACUGGAAACGGUAGCUAAUACCGCAUACCAUCAGAUGUGCCCAGAUGGGAUUAGCUAGUAGGUGGGGUAAUGGCUCACCUAGGCGACGAUCCCUAGCUGGUCUGAGAGGAUGACCAGCCACAGGGGGACUGAGACACGGUCCAGACUCCUACGGGAGGCAGCAGUGGGGAAUAUUGAACAAUGGGCGCAAGCCUGAUGAAGCCAUGCCGCGUGUAUGAAGAAGGUCUUCGGGUUGUAAAGUACUUUCAGCGGGGAGGCGUUACUCGCAGAGGAAGCACCGGCUAACUCCGUGCCAGCAGCCGCGGUAAUAC